rnacentral:rRNA from 1 species
CCUACGGGAGGCAGCAGUGAGGAAUAUUGGUCAAUGGGCGGAAGCCUGAACCAGCCAAGUAGCGUGCAGGAUGAAGGCCCUACGGGUUGUAAACUGCUUUUAUACGGGAAUAACGCGCCUUUCGUGUAGGGCUUUGCAUGUACCGUAUGAAUAAGGGCCGGCUAAUUCCGUUCCAGCCACCGCGGUAAUACGGAAGGUCCGGGCGUUAUCCGGAUUUAUUGGGGUUAAAGGGAGCGUAGGCCGCAUGUCAAGCGUGCUGUGAAAUGUCCGGGCUCAACCCGGGCCUUGCAGCGCGAACUGGCGUGCUUGAGUCCGCGGAAAGCAGGCGGAAUGCGUGGUGUAGCGGUGAAAUGCUUAGAUAUGACGAAGAACCCCGAUUGCGAAGGCAGCUUGCUGCAGCGGAACUGACGCUGAUGCUCGAAAGCGCGGGUAUCGAACAGGAUUAGAUACCCUUGUAGUC